rnacentral:rRNA from 1 species
GGUAACAGAUGAAGAGCUUGCUCAGAUUGCUGACGACCGGCGCACGGGUGAGUAACACGUAUGCAACCUACCUUUUACAGAGGGAUAGCCCAGAGAAAUUUGGAUUAAUACCUCAUAAUAUUUUUAAUUCGCAUGAGUUUUAAAUUAAAACUUCGGUGGUAAAAGAUGGGCAUGCGUUCUAUUAGUUUGUUGGUGAGGUAACGGCUUACCAAGACUACGAUAGAUAGGGGCUCUGAGAGGAUAGUCCCCCACACUGGUACUGAGACACGGACCAGACUCCUACGGGAGGCAGCAGUGAGGAAUAUUGGUCAAUGGUCGAAAGACUGAACCAGCCAUGUCGCGUGAAGGAUGACGGCCCUAUGGGUUGUAAACUUCUUUUGUAUGGGAAGAAAAGCAGUUACGUGUAAUUGUCUGCCGGUACCAUACGAAUAAGGAUCGGCUAACUCCGUGCCAGCAGCCGCGGUAAUACGGAGGAUCCAAGCGUUAUCCGGAUUUAUUGGGUUUAAAGGGUGCGUAGGCGGCUCUAUAAGUCAGUAGUGAAAUCUCGAAGCUCAACUUCGAACGUGCUAUUGAAACUGUAGAGCUUGAGUACAGACGAGGCAGGCGGAAUGUGUUGUGUAGCGGUGAAAUGCUUAGAUAUAACACAGAACACCGAUAGCGAAGGCAGCUUGCCAGACUGUAACUGACGCUGAGGCACGAAAGCGUGGGGAGCGAACAGGAUUAGAUACCCUGGUAGUCCACGCCGUAAACGAUGAUUACUGGUUGUAGGCGAUACAUUGUCUGUGACUGA